AUGCAAACUAUUCAUACACCAGCUAAAAAUAUGUGUAUGGCCGCUUACGAAAUACACUUAAUGUUGAUAAGCUAAUAUGUGUAUAAGAGAGGUCUGGGUUUUCCGAUUUUCUAUAUUAUAGAUACGACUGCUUUCAAAUUACAUACAAGUUACAAUUCACUCGAGCGUGACUUAAAAUGUUAGCUAAGUAAGGAAGUAGGUUAGGUACAUUUUACUUUUCACUAAAUACUGUUAGUAAUGACAACAUUUUCUUUUAUCUAUUUCAUGUCACUACCUUACUCAUAUUUUCCAUAAUAACAAACAACAAGCAUUAAGUUGCCCUGAAGUACAUAAGAUUUGAAAUCUCUUUCUUACUAUUUUAUCUACGAAAUUGUUGCUGGAGAACAAAACGAUGUCUCACUAUUCGAUCUGCUUAAUUAUACUGUAUAUUUUACAUGGUAUCCUACAAGUAUCGUGCUAUAGCAAUGGACAUAAUUUAAGAACAAAAUCAAUAUCAGCAGGUGGAAAAUGUCUAAAAAAUGAUAGCUGUUCAUGUACUUUCGAAAAUGGUACAGAAAUUAAUCUACAUUUUCUUGAUACUAAACCAAGACCAAGAUUCACGAUUGAUUCAGAAUUUCAAAAGUAUUCUUGGAAUCCCUGUACAGGUUAUACAGUCGGUGAUACAAAAGAUGUUGCAAUGGCUAUGAACGGCGGCGUUCUUGGUCUCCAAGCAGGCGCUUCGUUUCGUACAUUCGAAACUAAUGACUUUGGUAUAUACUAUAGUAGUUAUGCUGUAGUCAUACUAAAUUGUAGUGAUAAUAUGCGUAUAAAUUUCAAGUUGAAAGACAAUUGCCCUCAAGGUAUGAUUCUGUGCUUUGAAUAUUCAGGACCAUGUCAUAUAAAAACACCACAUGUGCCUGUUGAACCAAAAAAGCUUUCUACUGGAAGUAUAAUCUCAAUCGUUACAUUUUCAAUUAUAAUUGUAUACCUUGUGGGAGGUUGCCUGGUCACUUCGUUUUACCUAAACUCGACUGGAAUGGAACGAUGCCCGAAUGUUACACUUUGGAGCAAAUUGGGUUCUCUUAUAAAGGACGGAUUCUCUUACACGUUUUCUAAAGUCAAAUCAUCGUCAAGAAGUAGCUAUGAGAGUAUUUAAGAAUAAAAUUCAAAACUUAACAUGAAUUCAUCAAAAUACUUCUAUAAGAGCCUAACAACUAAUAAUAAUAAUAAUAAUAAUAAUAAUAAUAAUACAAGACUGAAGUUACUCUCCACGAAGGUAAAGAUACUGUUAGAAACAAUAAGAAGAAUGCGACUGUUGUUGGUAAUAAAUAG